rnacentral:rRNA from 1 species
UGAGGAAUACAUCGGAAUCUACUUUUUCGUGGGGGAUAACGUAGGGAAACUUACGCUAAUACCGCAUACGACCUACGGGUGAAAGCAGGGGACCUUCGGGCCUUGCGCGAUUGAAUGAGCCGAUGUCGGAUUAGCUAGUUGGCGGGGUAAAGGCCCACCAAGGCGACGAUCCGUAGCUGGUCUGAGAGGAUGAUCAGCCACACUGGAACUGAGACACGGUCCAGACUCCUACGGGAGGCAGCAUUGGGGAAUAUUGGACAAUGGGCGCAAGCCUGAUCCAGCCAUACCGCGUGGGUGAAGAAGGCCUUCGGGUUGUAAAGCCCUUUUGUUGGGAAAGAAAUCCAGCCGGCUAAUACCUGGUUGGGAUGACGGUACCCAAAGAAUAAGCACCGGCUAACUUCGUGCCAGCAGCCGC